ensembl:lncRNA
AGGCAGAACCCGCCCUGAGAUAGUGAGCCAUGCGUACAUCUCCCCAGGCCGAUGCAGUUUUUCUCUUGUUGCCCAGACUGGAGGCAAUGGCAUGAUCUCAGCUCACCGCAACCUCCUCCUCCUCGGUUCAAGCAACUCUCCUGCCUCAGCCUCCUAAGUAGCUCUACUGAACUGAUUGAUUGAUUGAAGACCUUGUCACAUACCAAGAGAACAGUUCUCCAUGGAGUUGUAUCUGAUUCUGAGGUUCCUACUUGGCAAAAAAUAUAUACAGCCCUGCUCUGUCUGGGGCACACCUCCAUUGGAUUUAAAAGACAGUCCUCAUCAGCACUGACUUCCAGCUAUAGAAUUGACAAAUUUGACCCAGUUGGCAGGCAUGGCGGCGCACACCCGUGGUCCCAGCUACCUGGUAGGCUGAGUGGGAAGUCAGCUUGAGCCAGGGAAUUCUGGAAUGCUGUCUGCUAUGCAGAUAAAGAUAAAGUUUUCUAACCAAGACCCCAAAACCUGGAGCGUGGCAAUGGUGGGAAGGAGGUAAGGGAAUGAGCCAGCAAGCGGAAUCUGCCCUUCACUGCCAGCGCCAAUGGGGAGCAGAAGGACUCUGACACAGGUACCAGCCUGCAGCAUCUCCUACAGUCAACCCUCCAUUGGCAGCCUGAAGCAGCUCAGGCAGGGUGUCCCUGGCUCCUGCACCUCCAGGCGUUGCACUGGGACCCACUCUAGCACCCUGCAAGCCAUCCAGGGUAAGGGGCAGCAGGGGCAGAGCACAGGCCCCCAUGUGCCACCUCCUCUUCGACCCGUGGGUCAUGCCCACAAGGCUGAUUGGAGAGCUUCACUCUUGAGUCCCACAUGCAUGCACCUGGUGCGUGUCCAGCCCUGGGCGAGGUAUGGGGAUGCUUACCUGUGCGUCUUCUGACAAAUGGACACAGAAGAGAGACAGUGGUUCCUCAAGGGAGUAGGACCUUAGUUCCUGCCCCUCUAUGGAUCCCCAGCACACAGAUAGGCUGGGAACCCGGGCUCCAUGCCAUCCACUUCCUUCAGUGCUAGUUCUUUGGUGGCCAGGCUGUGCCUCACUCCCCUCAUGAGCCCUGCUGAGGCUUUUGAGGAGUCCCAGAUGGGAGCCUUGAGCUUCCCUGGUGGAGCAGUGGCUAAGUCGGGCUGACUCUGGUAAAAUUAGCCAACUUUGAAUCUGGCGUCAGGUGAGGGAGGCGGCAUGUGUGCAGGGCUGGGAGACUGAGCUGGUCUGGGUUCUGGCUAACUCUGGGUGCACCCUUGAAGCCUGCAACAGAGCUCCAGGCUCCCUACAGGACACCAAGUUCUCAGCACAGGGCAUGUUUGUGCACCUUGUCCCAUUCUGUGAGUUGCCGGGGACUCACCAAGAUGGGAGGCCUAUGGAGCCAGGACCCCUUCCGCAACAACGUUAUCAUACUUCCUAUGCCUGGUGGCAACGAAUGUAUACCUGUUCCUAGAUGGGGAAGGAGACCAAGAGCGAAGGUGACAGCCAGCAGAAAGGAGUGAGGGCUCCUUUUUCAUCCAGCUGUCAAAGCCUGGGCAUGGCCAAUGCUGAGACCUUCUCUCUCCCACGAGACAACUCUUCUAGUUCUGCCCUCUCAGGCUGUCAUUUCAUGUGGGGGAAGCAGAUGUUGGCAGUGAGAGCCGUCAUCCUGGGCCCUCCUCCACUCCAUAAUGAGCCCCUUCCUGCCUGCCCCUGAGCAUUUGUAUCAGUGCUAAGUCCCACGCUGGUUGGGGGCUCCCCCUAGUCCCAGGGUCUGGCUCUGACAACAGAAAGCACAGACAGCAAAACUGUUGACUCUGCUCCUGAUGCUGAUGGCCAAGCUAGCCUGACCAUACCCAUGCCUCAGCAAGCAGAUGUCUGCCCCCAAUCCUUUGACAGCUAAACGGAGCAACAAUGCAAGGUCUAGAACACUGAGGAACCCAGGCUAGGUCAGUAGGUGCAAUCCUCUGCUAUCUUACCUAAAGUUUUCAUCCCAAGGCCCCUAUCCCACACCUCAACACUGACCUCUUCUUUGUGCCCCUCACACCAAUACAAUUUAGGUGCUCUAGCUCACCCACUCUUGACCCGCCUCCUGACUACCAUCCUGACAUCCCUGUGGCACCCUCCUGUGCCCGGUUGUCCCCUUCUCAGACUGCCCUGCACCCCGUGCUUUUUGGGCCAUGGUACAUCCUUAUGCAGAAACUAUGGGCCCCCAGCUAAAGCCUCAGCCCUCUCUUCUGUUCACCCCAUGGUCCUGGGCCCUGGAGUCCAUUCAGGCUAUUUCAUGGGAACCUCCAGCUGGUCAUUGUGUAGUUGAGGUUCUUGGGUGUGGUGUUCAGCUCCAGGAGGGAGUGGACUAUGGGAGGGGGCUGGCUGGCAUCCUGCAGCUUCAGGGCAUUGAAGCCAGGCUGGUACAGGAAGGGCAGGCAAGUGAGGCUGGCCAUGGUGCGCUCCCCACCGUUGGGCCCCACCAGGCACCCUCAGGCCUCUACCGAUGACAUAUGGUAUAGCAAGGUAUCCCAAAAACUGGAGGCCUGAGAGGUAUGGACGGGGUGCGGUGGUGGUGGGCAUAUUUUGCUCCAUUUUGCAUCUCUGGCUCCAGGCUCUGAUGCGACCUUGGGCACAGAGACUCCUGGGCCUCCUACAGCUGCUUGUUGAGCCACUUCGACACUGAGCCAGGGCUUGGGCUGAAAUUUGGAAACAGAGCAUAGUUAAGAGCCUGAUGAUAGGGCAGGGGAUGUGGCCCAGGCAGGGCUGGAUACUCACUUAGCUUCAGUGGCGGGGCCAUCUAUCAGGGUUUCCUCCAGGUGCUCUCUGCCAGGUCUCACGGGGUGAGACUGUGUGGUGAGAGCUCCAGUGUAUGGCAGGUCGGGGCUAGAGGUACCAAACCCUUGCUGUAGCCUCUCUGGGAAUUGAGCCCUGGAAGUCUGGUGGCAGCCGUGGUACAGGGGACUGCACAGGCCAGGGACUGACAGCCUGGGCUGCAGUGGGCAGCAGGCAGAUGUGAGCCACCAUGACCAGGGGCUCGUCCCUGGGGGAACAUGAAUCAGCAUCUCUGUCCUGGCUAUUGGAUUCCCUUUCUGGGACUCUCCUGGGGUGCUCAGUGGUCCCAUCGUAUGGGGACGUUAUCAGCUGAAUGUGCACCUGGGUGAUGUGGGUGAACUCAGCCAUGGUGGAUGAGACAGGGCUGAAGCCACCAAGAGGUUGGGCAGAUUCUGGUGUUGGGGCUGCAAUCUGGGGCCUCAUGGCUUUGAAGUGAGUAGUUAGAAUCCUGCACUGGGUGAGGCUGAAAAAGAAUGUGGACUUCUGAAAUGGUGACACCAUAUGGUGGGUGAUGGGGGUGUGCGGGGAGUGGGUUAGGGCAGCCACCAUGCAGGGAGCCUUGGUGGGGCAUUCAGGAAGGUGUGGGGCUUCAGCAGGGUGUGGGCCCUCAGCAGUGUAUAGGGCUGUGAACUCCUGGUUGUGGCUGGCCUCACUCACAAGGGAGAGAGAGGUGUGGAAGGCCCCAAUUGGGGGGAUGUUUGCACCCUGCUUUGUGUUCUUCUAGACUGCUUUCCUCAGGAGCUUCUGCAGAUGCAGGUUGUCCUUCCCUGGCUUGAGCAGCAGGGGCUGUGGGGGUCCAGGGGUUCUCUGGAGGCUUGGGCCACCCACCUUGGGUGCCAUCGAUGCGGCCAAGAUGAGCAUGGGCAUUGAGCCAAUGCUCAAUUGAGCAUGGAUGCCUCAUGGUGUGGGAGGGAUAGCAGUCAAGCCAGUCCUACUCCCUCCUGAGGUGGAGGCUGGUGUCGCCCUUGGUCCAGGCAGGACCUGGGGCAAGGCAUCUUUUGGUGACAACCACCUUUGGGGUCUCAGGUAUGAUUCCAUCACCUGAAGACCCCUCAACAACUCUCCAGACUAUAUUCCAAUCCCCAUGAGUCAUGAUUCUUUCACACAACCUCUUUCAGGAAUGGAGUCAGAAGAGUAUUUUCCAGCCACCACCUCAUGUCUCAAAAUGCCUCAUUGUCCAGUGGGACCUGACCACAUGGAAAGCCUGAAGAGGUCUAAGGUCCAGAAUUGUAGUGGUUUAUCACAAGCGGCUUUUUUCCCAACACCUGGCCAGCUCUGCCUGUAUCAUUUUCCUCUGCUUAGGCAGGCUGACAGCUCUUACAGCUGGGAGCCUGAGCCUGCCUCACUAAUGUGCAUGUGCUAGUCUCAGGACACCAGACCUGAGCUGUGAGCUCUGACUAGCAUCAAAAUGAAUUCCACCAUUGCCUAGGGACAAGACCCUGUGGCUUGGCAGAGAAGGAGACCACCACGGAGGUGCCUUGGUGGUGGACUCUUGCCUGUCUUCUCUGUGCCUAUCUUCACGGGAUAGUUCCAUGAACCUAGGAGAGGACAGAUGUAAACCAGCCUGAAGAAACAUCAAUCAGAGCUCCAGGAAUAAACUGUUAAAUCCCUAAGGAUUCAAAAGGAUUCAAAAGGAUCAUCAGCCCUGCUUAGAUGUUGUUGGCAUGUGUGUUUUGAAACUUACACCACUGUGAUUUCCAGAUAUUCCUGUAUUCUCCACAGUUGAUUUCUCACAGGUGGAGUUUCCUGAAGAACCACACAGACUCAGAAUCUGCCAGGCUGUGUGUUUCUGUGGGAGUGUUAUGAGUGUUGUAUGUCUGCAUGUGUGUGUGGCUGUGGUGAGUGUGUGAGUGUCUUUUUUUGUUUCGGUAAGUGGAAUCUGCUUAAAGGAAUGUGGCUAAUGCACUGCAGCUCUUCCUUUUAUUGAUUAUCCCAACCAUUUGGUUGCCUGUCUGUGUGGCUCUCCUUGGGUUGUGAGUCACUGUGUUCUUUAUAUUUCUGUGGAUCAUGAAUUUGCAGUGAAUUGGUAGGCUGGCUGAGACCCAUCAAAACCAAAUCACCUCCCUCUGCAAAAAAAGCCACUCUGCUAGAAAGAACAGGAGCACAUCACACUGAAGAACAUACAUCUCCCAGUGUUUCUUGUCCUGUAGCCAGCCCAGGGAGAGACACUAGCAGUCCUGUCUGCAGGGCCCCUUGAAUUUACCUCAAAUUCAGUUCAAACUUGAGCAGGUGCUUCUCUUCAUGAAGGGGCACUCCUCUAUUUUCUUGAGAUUUAAUUCUGGGACAGAGAGUGUGAGCAGCAAUUGUCAGAUGGGGGUGAGGAUACAAUGUAGUUAGGGGUGGAUGGGGUCCUGCACCUUAACCUGCAAAAAAGGUGAAGACAGAUGACACAGAACAUGCAUCCAACUGCAUCCCCACAUUUUAUUAAUUGAAUGAGCAGUCCACACCAUGUCCUGGUGCUCAGGUAGGAGUAUUCCAAAGUGCAAGGAACAUUUGGACUGUAAACUGGGUCCAUCCUGCAAACUGCCGAUUUGAGGACUUUCAUACCUGGAGCCAAAUGUGAGUAUGAUGCAUUAAUGCUGGGUGGGAUGUGACCUCCACACUUCCUUCUUCCUUUCCUGACUUCCACGUUCCUUGUUGGCUUAGGGUUUCCUGAGUCUCACUCAGCGUCUUCCACACUAAACGUUUCCCACUUCACGGAGGACUAUGGUCAUCGGAAGGAUAUUACGUGAAUGUUUCCUUCUGAACACUGUCACGUUUUAAUGAUUGGGCAGCUGUGAUAAUUUGAAAAAAAUAAAUUCCUGUUACAGCCACC